rnacentral:rRNA from 1 species
UACGAAGGGGGCUAGCGUUGUUCGGAGUCACUGGGCGUAAAGCGCACGUAGGCGGCUCGUUAAGUGUCUUGUGAAAUCCCACGGCUCACCCGUGGAACUGCUGGGCAUACUGGCGAUCUUGGGCCAACUAGGGGCAACUGGAACAAGCGGUGGAGCGGUGAAAUGCGUAGAUAUCGCUUGGAACGCCAAAGGUGAAAACAGGUUGCUGGGGUUGUGCCGACGCUGAGACACGAAAGCCAGGGGAGCAAACGGG